AAUCAACGCUGGCGGCGUGCCUCAGACAUGCAAGUCGAACGAUUAAAGCUCUCUUCGGAGAGUGUAUAGAGUGGCGCACGGGUGAGUAACACGUAAGUAAUCUACCCUCGAGUGGGGAAUAACGUCCGGAAACGGACGCUAAUACCGCAUAAUGCAGCGGCACCGCAAGGUGACAGUUGUUAAAGGAGAAAUUCGCUUGAGGAGGAGCUUGCGGCAGAUUAGCUUGUUGGUAAGGUAACGGCUUACCAAGGCUACGAUCUGUAACCGGUCUUAGAGGACGGUCGGUCACACUGACACUGAAUAACGGGUCAGACUCCUACGGGAGGCAGCAGUCGGGAAUUUUGGGCAAUGGGCGAAAGCCUGACCCAGCAACGCCGCGUGAAGGAUGAAGUAUUUCGGUAUGUAAACUUCGAAAGAAUAGGAAGAAUAAAUGACGGUACUAUUUAUAAGGUCCGGCUAACUACGUGCCAGCAGCCGCGGUAAC
rnacentral:rRNA from 1 species